GACGUAGGGCGCGAGCGUUGUCCGGAUUUAUUGGGCGUAAAGAGCUCGUAGGCGGCUCGUUGCGUCGGCUGUGAAAACCCGCAGCUCAACUGUGGGCUUGCAGCUGAUACGGGCGGGCUGGAGUUCGGUAGGGGAGACUGGAAUUCCUGGUGUAGCGGUGAAAUGCGCAGAUAUCAGGAGGAACACCGGUGGCGAAGGCGGGAUCCUGGGCCAGUACUGACGCUGAGGAGCGAAAGCGUGGGGAGCAAACAGG
rnacentral:rRNA from 1 species